rnacentral:rRNA from 1 species
GACGAGCGCUGGCGGCGUGCUUAAUACAUGCAAGUCGAGCGAGGUUACUGUUUCGGAUCCCUUCGGGGUGAAGAAGCUUUAACCUAGCGGCGGACGGGUGAGUAACGCGUGGGUAACCUACCCCAAAGUCCGGGAUAACAGCGGGAAACCGCUGCUAAUACCGGAUGUCUUUACCUUGGGGCAUCUUGAGGUAAAGAAAGGCAACGCUUUGGGAUGGGCCCGCGUCCCAUUAGCUAGUUGGUGAGGUAACGGCUCACCAAGGCGACGAUGGGUAGCCGGCCUGAGAGGGUGGACGGCCACACUGGGACUGAGACACGGCCCAGACUCCUACGGGAGGCAGCAGUAGGGAAUAUUGCGCAAUGGACGGAAGUCUGACGCAGCGACGCCGCGUGAGCGAUGAAGGUCUUCGGAUCGUAAAGCUCUGUCCUUGGGGAAGAAGGUCUUCGGACUUGACGGUACCCAAGAAGAAAGCCCCGGCUAACUACGUG